rnacentral:rRNA from 1 species
GACGGAGGGUGCUAGCGUUGUUCGGAAUCACUGGGCGUAAAGGGCGCGUAGGCGGCCUUGCAAGUCGGUUGGUGAAAGCCCGGGGCUCAACCCCGGAGGUGCGGCCGAGACUGCAGGGCUGGAGGCCGGAAGAGGAGGGUGGAAUACCCAGUGUAGAGGUGAAAUGCGCAGAUAUCAGGAGGAACACCGGUGGCGAAGGCGGGUCUCUGGGCCGAUACUGACGCUGAGGAGCGAAAGCGUGGGGAGCGAACAGG